GGGAUCCGUUUCCGUAGGUGAACCUGCGGAAGGAUCAUUGUUGUUUUAUAAAUAAUUUGUGUGGUGCAUGGAAUUGAUAAUUGUAUGUUGUAUUAUAUUAUUAUAAUACAAAUGAGAAAAUAUAAAAAAAAUUACAAAGUAAUUAUAAAAAAACUAUAUAAUGUGAGUGAAUAAAAUAUAAAAUAACCAUUAACGGUGGAUCACUCGGCUCUGAGUUCGAUGAAGAACGCAGCUAAAUGCGAUAAUUGAUGCGAAUCGCAAGCUUAGUGAGUCAUCGAAAUUUUGAAUGCAAAUGGCGCUUUUGAUUAAUUUCAAAGGCAUGUCUAGUUGAGGGUUAAAAUUAUAUAAAAAUUAUAAUAAAUUUAUAAAAUUUUUAUAAAAAUAUUAUUAUAUUUGGUUGUGAAAUAAAUGUUUGUGAUUCUCAACUUAAAAGAUUAUUCGUUGAUUUUAUACAUGUUAUGUUUUAUGCAAUAUGCAAAAUUAACAAUAUAUAUCAAAAUACAACUUAAUUUAACCUCAACUUAGGCAAGAUUACGCCGUGAACUAAAGCAUUUCAGUAACGGCAGGAAUAGAAAAUAACAAUGAUUCUCAUAGUAACUGCGAGUG
rnacentral:rRNA from 1 species